AAAAAGAAGUUUUAAAAUAUUAAAUUGUCAAUUUAAAGUAGUGAAUUCACCUAAAAUA
rnacentral:tRNA from 1 species